rnacentral:lncRNA from 1 species
GGGCAUUUAGGUUGUUUCCACGCCCUGGCUGUUGUAUAUAGUGCUGCAAUGAACACUCUCUUGUGUAUCUUGAAAUGAGAAAUUCUUGGAGAAGAAGGAAGACAGGUAAACCAAUUUGUAUCUUAUUGUGUGAGUCAAGAAAGAGAUACUGAUACUUUGAACUAUGGUGCUGAUAUGAUACUUUGAACUAUGGUGCUGAUAAGAAAAUGGAAAGAACGAGAUAGAUUCUGGAGAUAUUUAAGAGAGUAAAGAUAAUUUGGUAAAGAAAUGUAUAAAUAAGCAGGAGAAAAAGUUAUCAAGGAUAACUUCCUAGCUUAUACAUCUAAAUGGAUGGAUGAUAAUGUUGUUCACAAUGACAGGGAGUUGUCGGGGCUGUAAUGGGGGUGGGGAAAGGAGACUAUGAGUUUGGUCUUAAUACCCAUUGGAAAGAUAUCCAGCAGGUAGUCAAUGUGUGGGUCUGGAGCUCAGAAGGGUCUGAAUUGGAGAUAUAACAAUGAGUCAUCUAUAUUUAAAUGGUAGUUAAAGCUAUAUGUGUAGGUGACAUUGUUUAGAGAAGGGACUGAGAAGAAAGCCUAUGACUGGCCCAUAAGGAAUUUGAAUUUUAAAUUCCUGGUUAGAGUUUGAGUCUCCAAAUGGUCAGAGAGAAAUGAUAUAAACCAGAAAGGUGUGAUGUUAUCAAAGCAAGAGAAUAAACUCUCAAAAGUUUAGGAAAGAGUCCAAAAUUUUCAAAAUUUGCUCAGAGUUAAUUAGAAUCACAAUCAAAAAGUGUCCAUUAGGAGUUCCCGCUGUUGUGCAAUGGGUUAAGAACCUGAAUGCAGCAGCUUGGGUCACCACAGAGACCCAAAUUCGAUACCUAGCCCAGUUUAGUGGGUUGAGGAUCUGGUGUUGCCACAGCUGAGCUGCAGCUUGGAGUCAAUUCCUAGCCUGAGAGCAUCCAUAUGCUGUGAUACAGCCAUUAAAAAAAAAAAAAAAAAAAAAAAAGUCCAUUAGAUUUAACGGCAUGGAAUUGCUGACCUCAGAAAAUUCAUUUUAGUGACACAACAGAGCUGGACAUAAAAUAGAAAAUAGUAGAAGAGUUUGAACGUUUGAAGGGAAUGGUGAAAUUCUGAACUUGUAAUUUUGGAGAAUGAAAGACUGAGAGUUGGCUAGAGAAACAGCGUAGGAUCACUGGGUAGUCUGAGUGCUCAUUUGAGAUUGCAGUUGGUAAAUUUAAAACUUGGCCCAUUGUGAAACUUCCCCUAACAAUCCCGAGCUACUUCAAUGCCAGCAGAUAACCUGGUUCAUCCAAGGUUGACAUGGAUCCGUGGAUCAAAAAGAGAGAUGAACCAGAAUUUGAUCUAUUGAAAAGGGAGUUGUUGAAAUGAUGUACACCAUGAACUCUAAGUUAGAUGGUAGAGGUAAGAGAAGAAAGGAAAAAGCUACUGGCUUGGAGAGUCAUACAUUCGUGUAGGGUACAUGGGUCCUGAUAUAAGAUCAAAGAAUCAUUGAUGUGGAAGUGGUUGAACAAGCAACAUAGGGGCGGAGACUGUAGUCAGAGUGAGGUAUUUGAUUCAAUGACUAUGGAGGUGGCACAGCUACAAGUGAUAAUCAGACCCAGGACCCAAGGGAAUUUGUGGCUGAAGAAGGGCAGGGGUCACUAGAGCGAGCCUUGGUUUGAUUCCAUCAAAUCUUUCAUUUGUGAUAGAUGGAAAACCCAAAUCAAACUGGGAUGGAGAAAGGGGAAUGCAGAGCUUUUGUUAUUAAAGGCUGAAGGGAUCCUUUAGCUUCAGGUAUAGCUCUCCUGACCUCAUCAGGAUCUGACUCUCCAUCUUUCAGCUCUGCUGCCCUCUAUGCGGGCUCCAUUCUCAGACAAGCUCGUCUCUGGUGGGAGCAAAAUGGCAGCCGGCCACUCUCACCAGGCUUUCAUCCUCACCAGUCUAAGAUGAGUAGAAAAGAACAAGUGUCUCUUUCCUAACCAUUUAAGCCAGAGUCCUGGACCUUGUUCUUAUUAGUCCAAAUUUGGCUUACAUUUCCAUCUUUGAACCAAUCAUUGUGACCGGCCAGACCUGAGUCUCAUCUCCACUUGGAAGACGGUUCAUCAGAGGAAAAAUGGGCAGUUGUUACCUGAAGAGUCAAUGCAGGCUGGCCAGUAAAAACAGAUGUCUGUCGUCAUCUUUUUUUUUUUUAAUUUAUUUUUUAUUGCUAUUUCCCCCAACACACUUUUUUUCCCCCACUGUACAGCAUGGGGACCCAAUGUCUUCUUCUACCGUGCUGAACAGGUUGUUUGUGAAGCCAUUCAGGUUGGUGGCAGAGUCUGGGCUUGCGAGGAAUCCUGUUAAGCCAGAAUCUUUGAAAGAGGAGGCAUGACCUGGCAUCAGUGACUUAAUGUGUGAAACAGGAUUUGAAGUGUUUGUAGAGUGCCUUUGGCUAGCCCUUCAGACUGAAAGAUCUUUGAGGGCAAAGGAUUUUGCAUCUCUGGUAGCAAGUAGUGGGCCUGACACUUCAGAGAACUUGUAAAUGAUGGAUGUGUGGAUGGAAGGUGGAAGGAUGAUUGAGCAAAGAAAUAAAACAACUGGGUUUGAAAAUAUCUUAGAUAGGAAUAGGCUCGGGGUAUUUGAUGGAAAAUAUUCAACAAAUGCCUUUUAAAAUAUCUCUUCAGAGUUCCUGCUAUGGCUCAAUGGGAUCAGCGGU